rnacentral:tRNA from 1 species
GUAUAAAAAGCGAGAAAUUUGCAUAUGGUUUCGGCCCAUAUCUUGAGGGUGUGAGUCCU